rnacentral:misc_RNA from 1 species
GCUAACUGAAUAUCAGGGUCUGCUACUUUCUCUCGUUGUACCUCUUUGUACUCUUUAAAAAGCCUUGCUCGUGAUGCCUGCAUGAGUAAAGAAUAUUGUUUGCUGGAUCUUAAAUAAGAAAGACUCUGAAAUUAGACUUCCAACUGAGCGAUUGACGGAGCCGCCGAUUCCCGGUUAUCGGCGGCGAAUUUGGAGGGUGGAGGCGCAGAGUGGAA